AUCCAGCUGACGAAUCCCGAAUAGGACGAAACGCGCAUCCUGGAU
rnacentral:hammerhead_ribozyme from 1 species